rnacentral:rRNA from 1 species
UUUUGUGGGACCUGUCUGUAUUACUGCAGAAGCAACUCGAGGGGUGCCAUUGGUGCUGCGCGGCAGAUGACGACCGGGACACGCGUGAGUAACGCAUGUACAAUUUACCUAUUACUGGGGGAUAGCCAGGAGAAAUUUCGGAUUAACCCCCCAUGGUUUGUAAAUGUGGCAUCACUUUUACAUUAAAAUUACGGUCGGUAAUAGAUGAUUUUUAGUCCCAUUAGUUAGUUGGUAAGGUAACGGCUUACCAAGGCAGCGAUGGGUAGGGGUCCUGAGAGGGAGAUCCCCCACACUGGUACUGAGACACGGACCAGACUCCUACGGGAGGCAGGAGUGAGGAAUAUUGGACAAUGGAGGCAACUCUGAUCCAGCCAUGCCGCGUGCAGGAAGACUGCCCUAUGGGUUGUCAACUGCUUUUACAGAGGAAGAACCGCACCCACGUAGUGGGUGUUUGACGGGCUCUGUGAAUAAGGAUCGGCUAACUCCGUGCCAGCAGCCUCGGUAAUACGGAGGAUCCAAGCGUUAUCCCGGACUCAUUGCGUUAAAGGGUCCGUACGCGGCACAGUAAAUCAGUGGUGAAAGACUACGCUCACCUGCUAACUUCAUUGAACUGCAUUCCUUGCUCAUUAUG